GGUUCAUUGAGAAAUCCUUAGUGCUAUUGACAUGUUUCAAGGGACAUAAAUUAGCCAAUGACUCGGAAUGACGGAUUCCCCGAAGAGUGGAAAUGGUUUGCCAGUGGUUGGACCAGGGGCUGAUAUAGGGAAAUCUUCACUCCACAUGGUGGGGUACUUGGGAAAAAAUUAUGAUUCAGCUAAAGUUUUAUCAGAUGGGUAUUGCCCUUCUUGUAGGGCGAAGGGAAAGUUAAAAGCCUUAAAGACUUACCGAAUUAGUUUUCAAGAAUCUGUCUUUUUGUGUGAGGAUCUGCAGUGCAUCUAUCCUUUAGGCUCUAAAUCACUUAAUAACUUAAUUUCUCCGGGUUUGGAAGAUUGUCACACUCCAAAUAAGCCUCAAAAGAGAAAGAUCUUGGAAACCAACUGUGAAGAUUUACCUUUUUUAGCAGAUUCCAAAAAGACUAAAAAUCAUCGAGGCAUUGACAGUGAACAAGUUUUGAACAGUAGCCAUAAUGGAGGAGAAUAUGAUGGAACCUCACCAGGCUUACCUGGUUCACUGUACAGUGGACAGCAGAAUCCAGUUAGGACAGCUGAUUCCUGGGAGCAGAAUGAGGCUAUGGAAGCUGAUACUGUUGACAUGGCUCCUGAGGAAGAUGCUACCAUGGUUGAUGUUUCUGGAACUGAAGGAACUAGCCCUCAAAAUGAAAGAUGCACAUCUGAACUGGAAAAGCCACUGGAGAGCAAACAUACCUCAUUUUGCCAGACUUCAUGUGUCCAGUGGAAGAACGCACAUGCCCUGUGUUGGUUAGACUGUAUCCUGUCAGCACUGGUGCACUUGGAAGGGCUGAAAAGCACUGUGACUGAUCUGUGCUCUAAAGAGGAGUCCGUGUUCGGGCGGUUGUUUACCAGGUAUAAUGAAGCCAAUAAGCUUCUGCACACCAGUCAGCUGGAUGGAGUUAAAGAUGGAGAUUGUAAAAAGCUUCCUUCAGAAAUAUUUGCAAAGAUAGAGACCUGUCUGAAUGAAGUAAGAGAUGAAAUUUUUAUUAGACUUCAACCUCAGCUUAGAUGUACAUUAGGUGAUAUGGAAAGCCCUGUGUUUGCAUUUCCCCUGCUCUUAAAAAUAGAACCCCACAUUGAACAGCUCUUCACAUACUCUUUUUCUUGGAAUUUUGAAUGUUCACACUGUGGACACAAGUAUCAAAACAGAUGUAUGAAGAAUCUGGUCACCUUUACAAAUGUCAUCCCUGAGUGGCACCCGCUUAAGGCUGCCCAUUUUGGUCCGUGUAACAAUUGCAACAAUAAGUCACAAAUAAGAAAAAUGGUAUUAGAAAAAGUCUCUCUCGUAUUCAUGUUACACUUUGUGGAAGGCUUACCCCAUAAUGACUUGCAGCGCUAUUCAUUUCAUUCUGAAGGCUGUCUUUAUCAAGUAACUUCUGUAAUUCAGUACCAAGCAAAUAAUCAUUUUGUCACAUGGAUUUUAGAUGCUGAUGGAAGUUGGCUAGAAUGUGAUGACUUAAAAGGCCUGUGUUCUGAAAGGCAUGAGACAUUUCAGGUUCCCGCUUCGGAGAUACAUAUUGUUAUUUGGGAAAGAAAAACAUCCCAGAUGACAGAUAAAGCACCUGCCUGCCGUCAACUUAAAAAGACUAGUGACCAGUACACUUUUGGCAACGAGAAGCAAGCGUCUCCAGCAGCAUGUUCUACAGGCAAAGCUGCCUCAGCUGAACUGUCUUCAGGAACGCACCCCACGGAUGUGUCCAUGGUUCCUAAUACCCUCUCACAGGAUGAAGCCGUAGCUCCUGGACAUCAUUCUCUUCCAGAUCUGAAAGGUUCAGUUGACAGCAGUAUCUUACCUUUGACACUUGAAGAAAUACAGUCCAACUCUGAAGGUUUUUUAUUAGAACACAAACCUGUGGCAGAAAAUGUAGGGGUUGUUGAAGCAAACACUUUGCAGUCAGAGGAGCCACUCAUAGCUUCUUUAGUGGCCCCAUGCGAGGACAAGCUUACCCACAACCAGUCUGUGGAUUUAAGCUUUUCAUCCCAACUCUUAGCUAUGCCAUCAGUACAGGUGACUACAGAAGAUACCGUAGUUACUCAGCCUGUGAAUGACACUCGUGCUGGGGACCUUACACAGCAAGUAAAGUCAGUAGACACUGAGGGUACAGUUGCGCUAGAGAGGAAUGCUUCAUUGAAACAAUGUCUUGUACCAGAAACUGAGAAGUUAAAUCCAGAACAACAUGUUACAUCUCAGGUAUCUGAUUGGAAGGAAGAAGAAACCACAGCAUUUUCUCAAACUGUAAUAGCUAAGCCGUUACAGAAUCCACCUCUGAAAGAGAAGAAACCAUUUGUGGGAAGUUGGGUAAAAGGCUUAUUAAGCAAGGGUGUUUCUUUUAUGCCCUCUUGUGUUUCAGCUCAUAACAGAAACACUGUGACUGAUUUGCAGCCUUCAGUUAAGGGGGCAAGUAAUUUUGGUGGCUUUCAAACUAAAGGUUCAAGACAAAAGGCCAGCCAGGCCUCCAGGAAAGCUCACAGGAGGGCAGCUAAGCUGCCUCUGGUGAGUAACUCUCCUCCAAGCCAUCAGUCACCAGCCAGCACAGCUUCCCCUCCCCGUGCUGAUGGCGCUGGUGAUUCGGAAGUUUGGAAGAGAUGUGAAAGUGCCUCCUGUGGAGCUCACCUCAACCACAGUUCUCAUGGAAAUGAAAAUGGUGUUUUGUCACCAAACCAUGGAGACACAAUUGAGGGUCAGAUUCAUAAACUCCGUCUAAAACUUCUUAAAAAACUUAAGGCAAAAAAGAAGAAAUUAGCCGCUCUGAUGUCUUCCCCCCAAAACGGAACACUUCCAAGUGAACCUUCAGAACAGGUGUCCCAUUGUGGGUCUCCAAAUGACGGUGAGUCAAUAGAAGGCUUGCUAAAAGAACUGCAGCGUCAAAUUGACAUUGCCGAUAAUAAAUCAGGGUGCGCCACAGUUCCCGGUGUUUCCCCGUACGGUGGUCAGACGCAUGAAGAAAUUCUAGCAGAAUUACUGUCCCCGACCAGUGUGGUUUCAACAGAGCUCUCAGAAAACCGGGAGGCUGACUUCAGGUAUUUAGAAAUGGGAGAUAGUCACAUCCUGGCACCAGUUCCCAAUGAAUUCAACAGUAUUCCCCACAACACACAUCUGAGGCAGGAGCAUAAUUACUGCAGCCCUAAGAAAAACCAGAGUGAACUUCAGCCAGAUUCACUCACAAAUAAUGCUUUUAUUAGAACAUUGAACUCGGAAAGUCCCAUGAAGACUGAUAUUUUUGAUGAGUUUUUUUCUGCUUCAGCAUUAAAUUCUUUAGCAAAUGACACAUUAGACUUACCUCAUUUUGAUGAAUAUCUGUUUGAGAAUUGUUGA
rnacentral:lncRNA from 1 species